UCUCCUCUUUCCCCCAAUCCACUGCUUCCUCUUUCCCCGCACCUCCCCCAAUCCCCGCCUCCUCUCCUCCUCCCCAAUCCGUCGCCUCUCGCCACCCUCGCCAGCUCCUGCCGCUCGUGAAGGGGAGAAGAGGAGAUGCGGCGGAGAAGGAGUCCUAGGUGGCGGCUCGAGCGGAGGAGCGUGUCCUCGAUCCCGAAUUGGCAGGAGGAGAGGAGAAGCAUCCGCGGCGCGGCCUCAGUCCGGCCUCGGCAGGAGGAGCUUGAGCCGAGGAGAGCGGUGGCCUCGAUCCGGACUCAGUAGGAGGUGGGGAGCAGCAACUGCGCCAGCUGGCGCUCCCCUCGUCGCGACACUUGCAGCAAGCUGUCGAGCAAUGGUGGACGGGAGAGGGUCACGACGGCGGCAUCGUCCCUGCAGGAGAGAGAGAAGAUGAGGGAGAGAGAGAAGGAAGGAGAGGAGGGACAAAGAGAAGACAGUGGAGAGGGAGGUGCAGCGCCAGGAGAAGAGUACUGUGGGGAGCAGUCUUCUGGAGGUGCAUCUGGUCCAUGCCAACCAGCUUUCCUCGGUUCAGAAAGUAGCACCAUGCAUGAUGACUGUUGAUGAUCUCUGGAUUGCAAGACAUUGCUUUUGUGUUUCAUGAGAUAUAUGGUCGUUCUCAAAAGGUAGAUCUAUUACAUAUUGAUUCAAAAUGGCAUAGUUGUGCUCUUGCAAGAACACCUGAUGUGUUGUUUAAUAUAUUUUAUAUUUCAUUACAAAUGAAGAACUUUCGGAGGCUCUUGCUUAUUUUCUUCGGGAAUAAUAGGGUGUCUUUGGUAUCAUUGUAAACUUUGCAAGCUGCACUAUGGACCAUAGUUUCACUUUUAUUAGGUUCUUGAGAUAUGUUAUUUGCAUGGAGCACAUCUUGAUUUCUUCAGUUGCAAUUGUUUUGUCCAUUUCCCUUUUGCCUUCUUGAUUUGCUCAACAUGCUCAUUGUGAAAGGCUGAGAGUUUAUCCAUCUUUCAGUAUUCGCCGGAUUUGAUGAUGUGCGCCUUCUUCCUAUAUCAGCCAAGACUGAACAAAAAUGUGCACGGCCAUCUUGCUUGAAGAUUGCAGCACACACAUAUUGCUUGGCAGACUAACAUAACUAGGAGCUUCUAAUUGGAGCCUUCAAGCAAUAGUGUUGUUAAUAUAUUAUGUUACUAGAGUAUUAGAAUAACUUCCCCAUAUAUGUGUUUAUAUGAUUUUCUGACAUUUAAUGCAAAAAUAUUGAUAGCUAGGCACUGUACUGUGCAUAAACCAAAAUUUCAGUUUAUCUUUCGUAGUUGCAGCAGUUUUUCUGUACCAAUAGCGCGACAUUGCACUACUCUUCACUUUCACAGGCCAUGGAAAAAUAAAUAACUUGGCAACGAAUACCCUAUUGUCUACAGUUAUAAUUAUGUGUGCACUUUGGAUCUAUUGGAUGUCUGAAUGUAUUGCUAAUCGACAUUUACUGAUGCAAAGGUAUGUUCUAUUUGUAAUAUGAAAUGAUUCUUAUUUGUACCUCUAGCAGUCCUUCUCAUAUUUUCUAUUUGUAAUAUGAAAUGAUUCUUAUUUGUACGUCCAGGCCUCCAGCAGUCUUCUAUCGCUCCUUUUAGAACUAAUGACGUAAAAAUGUGGUCUGGAGUCUGGUCGUGUUUGAACAAAGUCGGUCAGAAUGAGAUCCAGAAGUAUUUUUCGAGUUUAUUAUAUUAAUUUUUCCAGUAUAGUGAUUAUUUAUUUGUUCACACAGUACAUAGUACCACCGGCCGCUAACUACAUUUUUUUUGCAGAUUUUGCAGGGACGUAGAUAUAUAUGGUGAUGUUUCACUACGAUCCUCAAGUGUUUUAGUUCGUGUUUAGGAGGAUCACAUUUUGACCAAUGACUCAAAUUUGUUUUUCUCACUGGUCCAGUAUACUCAAGAACCUGAAUAUUGUGUUUGCUUUGAGUUAUUGACAAUUCCUUGGUUUUUGCAACUCAAGAGUUGACGAUGGCCUUCCUUUGGUGCGUGUAGUGAAUGAAUUUGCUUCUAAUUCAGGCCUCGGUUGAUAUUGCUCGGCGGCUGGAUCUGCCAUGGAGUGGCUACCACGGGCCAACCAGAGUUGGGUGCCCCUGUUUCCGAUCUCGAGGCGGCGAGAUUAGAGUCUACUUAAUUAUGUAUCAUUUGGUCCUUCCUUUGGCUAUUAAUCUAUUGUGGUCUGCUUUUUCAAGCUCACACAACAGCCCUAGCUUAUUUGGCAGCAAGUUUGCCAAACGCAUAUUCUUGGGCGUAGCUGCUGCUGCCUAACAAAGCACUAGCUUUGCUACCACAGACGGCCCAAAGCUGGCUGUUUCUGGUGUAGCUGCAGCUGAAAAAUUUAUAUUGAAUUAAAUUUGGUAUAGAUAGCUGCAGCUGAAAAAUCAAGCUUAAGUUGCUGAACUUAUAUAGCUUGUUGUGUAAUGCAUCUUGAUACCAUACAUGUAAAUUAAUUUAGAAAUUGUGUUGCUCCGAGAUAAUUUUUUAUUUGAAAGCAUUACCAACAUAGGCAUGAGAUUACCUUCACACACGGAAAAAGUUAUUUUGUGACCUAAAGAUAUGAUUUAUGGACCUACCUCAAUAUCUCAGGAGUUGUCCUUUCCUUGUUAACCUUGUACACUUGACAUGACCCAUCAGUUUGAGGUAGAGACAAUGAAAGAACAGGUAUGCUUCCUUUCCUUGUUAACCUUGUACACUUGUCAAUGCCUCAUUUCUAAAUAAAGUCUAAAAUCAACUUUUUAUUGUUCAUUGCCCACCACUUGAAAUCGGCGUUGACAGCAGAAGGACAAAGCAAGAGAAGGAACUUCGUCGACCCAGCCAUGAGCAACGGAUGCUCUGACGAGUCGAUGGGGACCGUCAUGAAGAUCUGCCUGCGGUGUCUGACCAAGGAGCCAACACUGAGGCCGUUACUCGAGGACGUGAUGUGGAACCAGCAGUUUGCAGCCCUGGUGCAGGAUGACUGGAGCAGCGAGAAGUCCCCGCUCUCGUCAUUGUAGAUCCGUGCACAAUCCGCAGAGUACUGACCUCUAGGCAGGUAUGUGUCUUUUACAUGCAGUUUGCCACUCGCACAUCUAAAUUCCUACUUUGGAAUGAUGAUCAGAAAUUGUAACUAGGGUCUGAGUUCUGAAAUGACAUGUUGUGUCCAUGUUCUUGGGCAUCUUGCAGCCUGAGAAAAAAUAUUGUCAAGCAUUACCAUUAUGAUCCUCCAUCGAUCAUCAUUGCUGAAGGAAAACGUAUUAGACAUGGUAUUUUCAAGCUAAGUGUACCAGCAGCCGAUGCUGGACCUCAUGAUGCAUAUAGUUUGCAUAUUUCUCUUCAUCCACUUUUCCUUAUUUUUCUGUUCGCUCAUUUCUUCUAGCGUAUUUCUAUCAGUAUUUUUCAGUUGAAGGAUAGAUGCUCUAAUUACCAAACGAAUGUGCAGGCAACACCCAUUUGAUUAGUUAUAUGUUAUAUCCAUGUAGGCUAUGUUUGAUAGCAUAGUAUUGUAAAAACAAAAGAAUUUUAAAACUACAGUAUUUUCUCCUAUAGGUACAAGAUACCAUGGUAAUAAUAUACCAGAGUAUUUUGGAGUAUUGGGAAUAAUGCAAACCUGUUUCACUAGAGCUUAUAUGUAAAGUAAAUUAGCAGCUGGCCGUUUGUUAACAAUCGCAGACAGGCAUGUACCCCGCUUGCUGUCUAUUGCGAACUGAACAACUAUGCACAAGAGCCAGCCCCAGCCGCAGGCACAAACUUGAAUGGCAGUAUGCAUUAAACGGCCAUGCACAAAGCUAGCUUAUACAGAGGAGUUGAACAAGGUUGAGCUGCUGCUCAAUAUGGCCUGGAACGGUAGGCCGUCUUCUGCAUCGUCAUUGCAGGCACCACGGGAACGUCUUGGCCUUAUCUGAUCUCUAGCGAGUAGAGUGACUUAUUUUCACAAUACCUGAUUCUGAUCAUCGGUAAUGACCUUCUCCUAUUUCUAAGUGAUAUGUGACUCUGAUCAACUUUAUGAAGUCAUGUUCAUCUGGUAUUUCGUAUUUACUUCUAUAGGCUGCUAUGAUGAAUCUUACACUGCACUUGCUUACAAUGUCUUCCUCUUUUUUGUAGGCAACCUCAAAUGUCUAUUAUUCUAAAAAAAAUUGUUAUUUAACAAACAACGCUUACUUAAGAUGUCUUCCUCUUUGUUGUUAGUCCACCAUGAUGCAAAAGGUUAAGGUCCCAACAAAAGUAAUUCUCGAUGCUAUGAUGCAACAACUUAGACAUGAAGUCAUUUUCGAUGCCGAUGUGCUAAUAUGAUCAAAGGUGUCUGUAUGAUGCAUCUCUACCUAUGUACCUUGCCUGAUAAAAGCAAUGUAAAUAAGCUAUCGUAAAUUGAUCUUAUGCCUCUCUUAUAACAAUAUGUAUUGAUUGUAUCUAAAUAUUUUGAUGUGCAUAGUUUGAAUGCUCACUCUUUGUGUCUUUGCUACUAUAGCUUGAUUUAUAAAACCAAUGUAAGAUUCAUCAUAGCUAUUAUCAAGUGAUCUCAUUACUUCCUUUUAGUCUAUCAAGGCAUUGGCAUCAUGUAAUGGAAUAUAAGUAUCUAUUAAGUUGAUUCUAAAUCAGUAACAUAUACACAGUUUGAAUAGUUGGCUCGCUCUCGCUUUUUGCGCCAUGGGCUAUGAUGGCUUGCUUCUGUUAGGCAGGAACCAGUGUGGUUCUUACGUUUAGUCUCCAUGAUUAAUCUCCUGUGUUAGUUAAAUAAGAUAUGAAGCUCUGUCUUAUAGCUUCACCUUAAAAAUCUGUCUCCUUUUCGAACUGUACUCUCAUCAUGUAUAAGUAUUGAAUUCAUCGUGCUGUGCUAAUACAAUGUAAUUUAUCUAUGUUGUAUGUUUGCUUUUACCCACUGAGAAACUUCCUUUCAGUACCAUCGCUAUGCACCUGCAUUAACUUACUUUAUUCUUCCGAGACUAAAUCAGCGCGCACAAUCAUUUGGUGUUCUAGCUCAUCUCUACUUGCUUCUCAGCCAGUCAAAAGCAAACCUAUUUCCUUAUCGAUUCACUCUCACUAAAGAUAAUCUUAUGGAGAAAAGCAAAUGCUGGCCCUUCGACCUACCAACAGCCGAUCAGUUGAGCACCUGGAUGAUAACAAAGAAGUACUUGUUCACUGACCUUUCUUCUUCACAAGGUUUUAUAAGCAGAGUUGAGCACAAGACGAGAGAAAUUGCAUAGCUAUUCACACACUAUAUAUUAGCACGGUGUGAUGGAAUGCCUGCAGACAAGCACCAGGUGGCACCACUCAUUUCAAAACAUCUGCGCAUAGGAUAUCAACCACAGUUGUACCCUCCACAUGGAAAGCCAGGCCAGUUAGUGCUGGAUUUGAUGCAUGGCCCUGCCACAGCUUAUGCACGCGCUGUCCUGUCCACUGGAGUAACCAUGACGCUCGACAAAACUGAAGUUCUUCGUUACCCUGUAAAUGAUGUUGGCAUUCCAGAGGAGGAAAUGAUGUAUGAUUUUCUGAUUGAAGAAAGGAAGGCAAUAGUGAUAGAACAUCUAAAGAUAAAGAUCUAUGGAAUGCCUUUACAUCUUUGGACCAUAAGGGCAAUCGAGCGUGCACUGCAGCCACAUUGCAUUAUUGAGCAUGUUAGCCCAGCCAAUCUCAACUUCCGCAAGCUUCAAUCGAUAAGUUGCACAGCUUGGGCUAUCAGAACUCCUGUGCAAUUUCCAUGGUACAUACUCAUUCAUGUCUACAGCAAAUAUGACAAAGGAAAAAAAAUCAAAUCAGUGGCCAUAGAAUGAGACAUUUUGUAUUGGUGUCGACAGAAUUAACAUUCAAGAGCAUCAUCACAAAUCUCUUGAAAAACCACACAGGAGAGUGCCUCCUUUCUUACAGGCACUCAAGAGAGGAAUAGUUUCUCAUUCAUAUUUAAGUGAGGUUGAUAUACCAGCUGACCAAAUGCAGAUCUUAGAAUCAUCAUUCCUCCUGACAUCUUGUAAUGAGGGGAAGAUGAUGACAGAAGAUGAGUUAACACGGUGCCUCCAGCAAAUGCAGAUUCGAUGCCCAAGAAAUAUCAUAGCCAAGCAAAUUGACAAGUUCAAAUUCCUUAUAUUUUUCAGAGGGCCAGUAACUACAACUUUGUUUCACACGUUAUCUACUGACAUUGCUGGGGUGCAACUACCAUUUGGUACGUUCUUGGUAAAAAAAUGGACCACGUCUGCUGGUGCGACCUCUUCUGUCCUCUCUCAGAGAAACGACAUACGGAUUACAGGCCUACCAACUGAGUUUUACAGCCAGGCCAUAAUCGAAGACAUAUUGGGCCCUCACUGCAUGCUAGAGAACAACAGCCAACAUGUUGGUGAUUCCCCUGAUGUUUUCUUCUACGACUGUGCCAUAUGGACAGAUGAAAACAGAGAUAUUCCAGAGAUCAUAUCUAUUUGGGUUGCUCCAGAUGGGUUAGUAGUGGAACCGUCGCCUGUUAAAGUCUUCAGGUGCCUCUGGAGCUGUAUCAUGCAAGAAUUUUCAGCUAAUGACGCCCUACUCUGAAGACUAAAAUCACAGUUCCAAGAUAUCUAAAUAGAAUGUGCAGUUUCCGUUGUUUAAGUAUUUCUGUAAACAAGUCUAAGGCAUACUACUAUCUGUACUCUUGCCUGUGUUACAGUCCUCUGCUUAUUAACUACUACUUCUGCCUCACCUAUCCUUCAUACUUUUGCAUUCCAGUUAUACAAUCUUCAGAAAUAUCUUCUUGAAGAUGAUACUCCUUCAUCUACCAUUGUUAGCCUUUC